rnacentral:lncRNA from 1 species
GACCAGGACAGACAGCUGAGGGGGGCCUGAAUGUCCAACCGGGACGGUGGGUGGACUACUGCGAACUCACACAUACGAUUCACAGGUCUACACAGUUGACUGAUGAGCAGCCAGUAGGACCGGGGUUGGACUACACCGAUUGGCACAGUGCCAGACAAGACGACUGGAGGACAGAAGACAUAGUUGCAGAACUACUGGUGGUUUACUAGUGGUUAGUCUUAGCAUUCUUGUGGCAGCAGAGA